rnacentral:rRNA from 1 species
UACGGGGGGGGCAAGCGUUGUUCGGAAUUACUGGGCGUAAAGGGCUCGUAGGUGGCCAACUAAGUCAGACGUGAAAUCCCCAGGCUCAACUUGGGAACUGCGUCUGAUACUGGAUGGCUUGAAUUCGGGAGAGGGAUGCAGAAUUCCAGGUGUAGCGGUGAAAUGCGUAGAUAUCUGGAGGAAUACCGGUGGCGAAGGCGGCAUCCUGGACCGAGAUUGGCACUGAUGAGCGAAAGCCAGGGGAGCAAACGGG